AUCAUUCACACACUAUCAGAGAACUAUACACACACAGAAAAUCGAAUCACUGCAAGUCUAUGAAGCUCACCACUUUACAGGCAAGUACUCAUCUGUACACUCUUUGCUUUGAUUGAAAGCAUAAUAUAUACGGAGUAUAUAAUACAUCACUGUGUUUCUUCAAGAAAUGGCUAUAUAUAUCUGCAAAAGUCUCAUCUCUCUCUCUCUCAACAACUCUUCACACCUCAACAAAACUCGAAUCCCUCUUCUCUCUCUCCUCUUCUUCUCUUCGUCUCCAAAACCCCCCAGUCCGGUGGCCGAUUACUUGCUUGACAGACACAAAUUUUCUCCUGAAACUGCUUCGAAAGUCUCUUCCGUCGUGACGUAUCUGAAAAGGCCUGAAGAGACCGAUUCGAUUCUUUCAUUUCUCCAGGAAAGUGGUUUUUCGGAUUCCCAUCUCGAGCUUGUCAUCAAACGCAUGCCUCAAGUUCUCUCUGCAAAUCUUGAGCGCACCAUCAAACCCAUAUUCAAGUUUUUUCAGGACUUGGGUUUUUCUUCUACCGAUGUUGUGAAAAUUGUUUCGUCUAACCCACAGAUUCUGAUUCGUAGAGUCGGUAAUCGGCUUGGCCCGUCGAUUUUAGCAUUGAAGAGUGUUUUGGGUUCGAAUAUGCAUGAUGUGUCUAGGGCUUUAAAGGCAUCUGGGUCUGCGUGGUUAUUAAGGUAUGAUUUGGCGAAAAAUAUGAUACCCAAUAUUGAAUUUUUGAAGAGUUGUAGUAUUAGUUCAUCGCAAAUAGCUGGAUAUGUCUAUAUUUACCCAACAUUUUUCAUGCGUAAACCGACGAGAAUUAGAGAAUAUGUGAAGAGGGUUGAUGAGAUGGGUUUUGACAGGAAGUCUAAGAUGUUUCUUUCUGCGAUUCGGACUAUUAGUUCGAUGACUAAAGAGAAUUGGGAGUUGAAAUUGGAGCUCUUCAAGAGUAUGGGGUUUUCGGAAGAUGAUAUUUUGUCAGUUUUUAGGAGAUUACCUCAGGUGUUUGCUGUGUCAGAGAGGAAAAUUAAGGCAAUAACACAGUUUUUCCUUAGCACGGGCAAAUGUGAUAUCUCAUUUCUUGUUAAGAACCCAAAUUUACUUCUUCUCAGUGUUGAAAAUAGGCUUAAACCACGUCUAAGAGUUAUGGAGGUUUUGGAAAAAAGGAAUUUGCUUCUUAAAAAGCCAAGUUUUACGACUGUAUUCCAGAGGAGUGAUAAGAAGUUCUUUGAGAAAUAUGUACUCCCUUAUUCAGAUGAAGUUGGUGAAUUAUUCGUGGUUAACAAGGCCUCAUCGACAGCAGAAAUAUGCGCUUAAGAUUAUGACAACCUUUGUGACUUCACAGUUGAAUACCUAGAGGCAGGCUGAGAUUGAUUUUUUUUUUCCCUAAAAGAAAAUGACUUGGUGGCAUUGCAUGGCGGCUAAUAAACUUGACACUAGAAGAGAAGUUGAUUCAAGCAGUUCAGAUGAAAUGACAGAGGCAAGCAGUUCAAGCAUUUCUAGAAUGUGUUUUAUAAAGAUCUUCUUCUUUAUAUCUGGCACCAAAAUGGAUAAAUGGCUUUUAACAAAUUUAAAUGGAUAUAUGGCUUCUAUAAAGAUCUUCUUCCUCUAAUUUUUUAGAAGAAAAUUUAUAUGUGCGCGCGCUUGCGCGAAGGUUAAAACCUACAUUCAUACAUUCCCCUUCUUUUUCAUGCUUUUCCCUCCUUCCAAUCAGAAUAGAAUGUAGCAGUUCCAGUAAUUAGCAAUCGAAACACCAUUAAAUUCAACCCAAAAUAGUCACUGAAAUUGACAUUUCUUCAGCACAUAAAAGGACCAAGCAGACAAAAAUAGCAGUUCCAUGAUGAAGAUUAACAAAUGUGAAACAAAAGCUGUUAAUCUCUCUACAAUUCAAUUGACAGGCAAAUUCAGCAAUCACUAAUCACCCACCUGUAACCCAAAAUUUGUUGUUAUAUGCAUAAAAAGUCAUUCAUCUCUCUCUCUCUCUCUCUCUCCACACACACACACACACCCCGUGGUGUUCAACUGCUCCUGAAAAUAGUAUAUUCACUAUUAAUUGUAGCCAUAGGAUAUAAAUUAGCCUUCUUUUCCUCCUCCUCUCUC